CUUUUGGCCCAGCCCUGCCCGGCCGAGGCUAAGUCCCUUCCAAGCUUCCAGAACGCGGCGCCUUUGGGAGGCGGCGGGUGUGGCGGGGCGAGAAGAAUGGCGACCGCCCAAACGCUGCGGAGGGCCAUUAGGGUUUGGAGAGCCCGAGAAGGCCGGUCUGUGGACGCAAGCUCGGUCACCUUCUUGGGCAGUGGAGCGGCGCAGAUCUGGGUCUUGCUGUGCCCGCUCUGUACCAAAGGGGCGCGCCCUACUUAGUCCUGACAACGACGGACAAAGGCCUUAACGGGCCUGGAAGAAAGGCUAUCUUCUGAAAAGGACUUCUGGAAGUGAAAUGAUAACAUCACAUCUGAGUGACACAUGUGCCUAUAUCCACUGGGUUGUUGGUGAAGAAGAGUUGGAAGAAAUGAAGGAUUCUAGACCAGAAUGUUCUUUUUUAGAAGACACUUUCAGCUGUAACCAUUGUUACAUGUGUGUAUUCAACACUACUGUGUAUAUAGAGGACAAACUUAAGUCCUUAAUUGAAACAUCUAGUUUUUCUAGAUGUUUAGAAGUGCACAAAGUAUGUUAAAAGUAGAGGUAGUAAAUAACACAUUUUGUAGAUAACCUUUUGUUAAAAUUCACUAAAUACUGGCUUUUGGAAAUUGAUCAAACACUUGUCUGAGUAGUAUAGGAUAUUUGUGCUGUUCAGGGAGGAAAGAAAAGAAAGUGCAAAGGGCUUUAUACCAAUGUGGUUAUGGUGAGGUGAGACUAUUGUCCCUUAUGUCUGUGCAUUUCAUUUUACUUUGCUGUGUAUAUAGUGUAUAUAAAGGACUAAUGAGUCCUAAUUUACAACAUCUAGUCUUUCUAGAUAAAGAGGUUGCCAGUGUAUGACAAAAGUAGAGUUUAGUAAACUAAUGCAUUGAGUAGACUUUGAGUUAAAAUUCAUAGAAAAGAGUUUUCUUAAAAAUACUUACUGAAGUGAAAUUGUUAAAAUCCCCUCUAAGCAUUACAGAUGCUUAGACCUGUCCACUGGAUUGGUAGAAGGUAGGAAGGGGAAGAGUUCUAGGCUAGAAUGUUCCUACUUAGAGGACAUUUUGAGAUUGUAGCUUUUGUUAUGAGUGUGCAUUCAAUGCUACUGUGUAUGGUGGGAAAAAAACUUAAGUCCUAUCUGAAACAUCUAGUCUUUUUGAUGUUUAAAAGUGUACCACAUAUGUUAAAAGUAGAGGGCUAAAGUAACACCCUUUGAGUGUUUUUUGUUAUUUCAUAGGAGUGGUUGCAUUUGGGGAAUGGAAUUGUUAAACUUGAUAUCUUAGAGAGUAUGCCAUCACUGGGCAGUGGGGGGAGG